rnacentral:tRNA from 1 species
GUUUAAUUAAAACAUUACAUUUUCAUUGUAAAAAUAAAUAAAUAAAAAAUUUUUUAUAAAUA